rnacentral:rRNA from 1 species
GACAGAGGCCUCAAGCGUUAGGCGGAAUCACCGGGCUUAAAGCGUGUGUAGGCGGAUCGUUAAGUGUCUUGUGAAAUCCCACGGCUCACCCGUGGAACGGCUGGGCAUACUGGCGAUCUUGGGCCAACUAGGGGCAACUGGAACAAGCGGUGGAGCGGUGAAAUGCGUAGAUAUCGCUUGGAACGCCGAAGGUGAAAACAGGUUGCUGGGGGGUGCACUGACACUGAGGCGCGAAAGCGUGGGGAGCGAACAGG